GGCAUUGUGGUCGAAAUGGAUAGACAAAGUUCCGCAAGAACUUUCAUAGUGGUUCGAGUCCACUCGAUGCCU
rnacentral:tRNA from 1 species